UACGUAGGCAGCGAGCGUUGUUCGGAGUUACUGGGCGUAAAGGGUGUGUAGGCGGUUUUCUAAGUUUGGUGUGAAAUCUCCCGGCUCAACCGGGAGGGUGCGCCGAAAACUGGAGGGCUAGAGUGCGGGAAGGGAGAGUAGAAUUCCUGGUGUAGCGGUGAAAUGCGUAGAUAUCAGGAGGAAUACCGGUGGUGAAGACGGCUCUCUGGACCGCGACUGACGCUGAGACACGAAAGCGUGGGUAGCAAACAGG
rnacentral:rRNA from 1 species